rnacentral:rRNA from 2 species
UAAAACUUUCAACAACGGAUCUCUUGGUUCCGGCAUCGAUGAAGAACGCAGCGAAAUGCGAUACGUAAUGUGAAUUGCAAAUUCAGUGAAUCAUCGAGUCUUUGAACGCACAUUGCGCCCCCUGGUAUUCCGGGGGGCAUGCCUGUCCGAGCGUCAU